GCUUCUCAGGGUGCGGCCCGCACGGCGGUCCGCGGCUUUGCUGUGCUAACCCAGCCCUCGCGCAGCCCGCAGAUGGGAAGGCCGAGGUACGGGGACCCUGCGAACCCGGCCUCACUCACUCGGCGGCGGGUGGCAGGCCGGGAAGCUCAACAGGCCGAGCCCGGCCCCACAGAAGCCAUCACCGAUGGCCUGAUCCUUUCUUCGGUCUCCUGCUCUCACGGACACGUUUUGGCGGAGGCCUCGCAGCAGGGUGACAGCUGCCAUGUUGUGAGGAAGCCCCAGCUACACGGAGAGGCCUCCCAGCCCAGGCCCUGGAUGUGUGGAUUAAAGGCCUCCAGAUGAUUCCACCCCCGGGCACUGAAGUCACCCUCCGCUGCGUGAGUCUUCCCAGCUGACACCCCAGACUUUGCGGAACAGGGGAAAAGCCAACACCGUUGUGUCCUAAAUCUGGCCCACAAAAUCCAUGAGCAAAAUUUAAGUUUGAAGGUCAUGUGAGGGUGGCCACCCCAUCCCUGGCAGCCUCCGUCCAGAUGGAAAGGCAGCCCUACCAGAACAGAGAGCAUUCUCCUCGUGAUGCCUGAAGUCGGUUCAGCUGGAUGAGGCACGUGUAUCCCUAGACACCUUGCCAGGCACGUCAGAUCAAAAUACAGAGAAUGAAGGCUGCUUGUCUGACCGAAUGUCUCAGGAGCCUGGUCCCACGGGCUGCCCUUUGGUCCCAGAAGCUACUUGUCCAGAGGAGGCCCCACAUCUCAAAGGGAUGUCCCAUGAAGCAGCGUCCACGAAGACCAAACUGGGUCCCUCGUGUCCCCGCUGAACCCCCUAAGGACCC